rnacentral:lncRNA from 1 species
CAGAAGUUGAACUGGAGAGGUGUGACCAACAUUACUAUGGCAACACUGAAUGCUGGGUAUGUGAAGAAGCAGUUUUCAAAGGCUGGAACCUGUAGGAUUUUUUAGUCAAGCAUGGUAUUGGAGCUCAGCAAGUUUGUGUCCACUGUGCAUGUUCUGUUGAUGACUUCAGCAACAUUCAGAACCAUAACGGCUCAACACCAUGAAGUGUGAGACAGGGAGCUGGCAGAAGCUAGAAGGAAUUUGGUAACAGCAAGGUUAUUGUUAUAUUCUUAAUGAUCCUAGUAUUGCUUAUGGGAUCAGUUAUAUUGAUAAAAGCUAGUUAAAAAUGUUUCCUCUG